GUCUACCAGGUGUGGGCCCAGCUUUACAUAGUUCAUGCUGAGGCCAGGAUUUCAUGCAGAAAACUGGUUGCAAAAGGUGCUGAAGGGGCUGGGGGAGCACAAGGGAGAAG
ensembl:miRNA